CAAUAGUGUAUAUUAAAGUUGUUGCAGUUAAAAAGCUCGUAGUUGGAUUUCUGGUUGGAGCGACCGGUCGGGCAUUGAUUUGUCUGCACUGGAGUCGGUUCUGGCCAUCCUCUUGGAAAGUGCGUCUGUCAUUAAGUUGUCGGGCGUAUGAUCCAGGUCUUUUACUGUGAAAAAAUUAGAGUGUUUAAAGCAGGCCUUCGCCUUGAAUACAUUAGCAUGGAAUAAUAAGAUAGGACUUUGGUCUAUUUUGUUGGUUUGCAGACCGAAGUAAUGAUUAAUAGGGAUAGUUGGGGGUAUUUAUAUUCCAAUGUCAGAGGUGAAAUUCUUAGAUUUUUGGAAGAUAAACUUAUGCGAAAGCAUUUACCAAGGAUGUUUUCAUUAA
rnacentral:rRNA from 1 species